CCGUGCCUACGGGGGGCAGCAGUAGGGAAUCUUCCACAAUGGACGAAAGUCUGAUGGAGCAACGCCGCGUGAGUGAAGAAGGGUUUCGGCUCGUAAAGCUCUGUUGGUAGUGAAGAAAGAUAGAGGUAGUAACUGGCCUUUAUUUGACGGUAAUUACUUAGAAAGUCACGGCUAACUACGUGCCAGCAGCCGCGGGAAUACGUAGGUGGCAAGCGCUGUCCGGAUUUUUUGGGCGUAAAGCGAGU
rnacentral:rRNA from 1 species